UGGAAGAUUGCAACAGCGCGAACCUACAAGAGGAAGAUGGUUCCCCCAAAGCCUGACAUGCCCUUUCAGAACCACCUCACUGCCUUGCAGGCUGAAAAGGGAAGGAAGAUUUAUCACAUCAGGAGAGAGGGGACCUACAAGAGAGCUGGAGAGGACCUUUCUUCAAGGGUCCAUAACCUUUCAAUGCUGCCAUGAAGCAAGUUUAAGGAACAGCUCACUGACCCACACUACUGAGGAGGAAUCUGCUCCAGGUUGGGGAAGAGGGUGCCAUUUCUUGGAGCCAUGUCCCUCCUGCUCCAGACAGAAGUCUCCAAAGACCAAAGAAUGAUCCUGCAGCCAUUCAGCCUCUCCAGAGCAAGACCUGAGAUCUGGGGACUGUUCCUCUGAGUGUGAUGUACUCCACCUGAAAUGAAACAUCUGCAACAGCAACCUGCCCACCACUGCUUCUCCAGAAGUCCAGUGGCUCCAGGGAGCAUGGAGUGUUUCUGCUUAAAACUUAAGAGAUGGGCACUCCCUUUCAGCACAGCUGAAAAGGGCAUUUCAGGAAGGAUUUGGCCAACCAAGGCAUGAGAAUCACCCAAGAAAAUUACACAGGACAGUGAAAAUCAUUACCUGUAUGCUCCCCUGUAUUGUGCCAUUAUUUCCCAGCCCAGGGAUAAUGAAAUGUAAACAAAGGACUUUAAUGGUGGUGACUGCAUAAAAUCAGUUCCUGGGAGCUAUUAAAACUGAGGUUUAACAGAAUCGUGAGUCUUUGAAAG